ACAUCUUCUCGGCCUACGUGGCUAAGAUCAAGUGUAGUAUCUGUUCUUAUCAGCUUAAUCUCUGGUAGUGAGGCCUCAAUGUGCCUCACAACUCAAGAUUAGACUUAUUUCUUGUGGUGCGCCUGGUACCAUGCCCUCCAGCUAUGCUGUGACAGUCCAGGAGCAGCGAUCAGCUUCACAUUGCACACCCUUGUGAAGUUCUUCAAAUGGUCCACCCUCC
rnacentral:snRNA from 1 species